GAUGAAGAACGCAGCGAAAUGCGAUACGUAGUGUGAAUUGCAGAAUUCAGUGAAUCAUCGAAUCUUUGAACGCAUAUUGCGCUCUUUGGUAUUCCGAAGAGCAUGCUUGUUUGAGUAUCAGUAAACACCUCAAAGCUUUUGGAUUUUUUAAUCGAAAAGCUUUGGACUUGAGCAAUCCCAACACCAAUCUUUUUGAGAUCGGUGGCGGGUUGCUUGAAAUGCAGGUGCAGCUGGACAUUCUCCUGAGCUAAAAGCAUAUUCAUUUAGUCCCGUCAAACGGAUUAUUACUUUUGCUGCAGCUAACAUAAAGGGAGUUUGACCGUAUUGGCUGACUGAUGCAGGAUUUCACAAGGGUCGGCAACGAUUCUUGUUAAACUCGAUCUCAAAUCAAGUAAGACUACCCGCUGAACUUAAGCAUAUCAAUAAGCGGAGGA
rnacentral:misc_RNA from 1 species